AGAACGCUGAAGGAGGAGCUUGCUUCUCCGGAAUGAGUUGCGAACGGGGUGAGUAACGCGUAGGUAACCUGCCUGGUAGCGGGGGAUAACUAUUGGAAACGAUAGCUAAUACCGCAUAAGAGUAGAUGUUGCAUGACAUUUGCUUAAAAGGUGCAAUUGCAUCACUACCAGAUGGACCUGCGUUGUAUUAGCUAGUUGGUGGGGUAACGGCUCACCAAGGCGACGAUACAUAGCCGACCUGAGAGGGUGAUCGGCCACACUGGGACUGAGACACGGCCCAGACUCCUACGGGAGGCAGCAGUAGGGAAUCUUCGGCAAUGGACGGAAGUCUGACCGAGCAACGCCGCGUGAGUGAAGAAGGUUUUCGGAUCGUAAAGCUCUGUUGUAAGAGAAGAACGAGUGUGAGAGUGGAAAGUUCACACUGUGACGGU
rnacentral:rRNA from 1 species